rnacentral:lncRNA from 1 species
CGUAUCGCUGUGAAUGUGACCAUUGGUGUUCGUUGAGACAUUACCUAGUCAAUGAUGAACAACAAACUUGUACUCGCAAUCCUCUUGGUGACCGUAGGUCUGAUGUGCCUUGUUGUACCCCCAGUAAGCGGUCGUUAUGGAUCUGUAUGUCGGUGCAGUCACAUCUGGUCAUGUGGUCCUGGUGAGAUCCCCAGUGGACCUUGUGGUUACUACCGGCCAGGGAUAAAGUGCUGUAGUUACUACGGCUAAUAACACGACAAAGACAGAUGAUCGAUUCCUUACUAAAGGUACGAUUUGAUAAAAGAAGCCUUCAACAUGAAUACAAAAAUAAAUAUUUUAAUUUUGGUUUGUCAUGACAUUUUAAACCAUUAAAAUUCUUCAA